UACAGAGGGUGCGAGCGUUAAUCGGAUUUACUGGGCGUAAAGGGCGCGUAGGUGGUAAGGCAAGUAAGAUGUGAAAGCCCUGGGCUUAACCUGGGAAGUGCAUCUUAAACUGCCUAACUAGAGUAUGGUAGAGGGUAGUGGAAUUUCUGGUGUAGCGGUGAAAUGCGUAGAUAUCAGGAAGAACACCAGUGGCGUAGGCGACUUACUGGGCCAUAACUGACGCUGAGGAACGAAAGCUAGGGGAGCAAACAGG
rnacentral:rRNA from 1 species